GGACCUGUGGCCGAGUUGGUCGAUGGCGUCGGACUCUUAAUCCGCCUGCGCAAGCACACCGUGAGUUCGAAUCUCACCGGGUCCUCCA
rnacentral:tRNA from 1 species